CCUACGGGUGGCAGCAGUGAGGAAUAUUGGUCAAUGGACGGAAGUCUGAACCAGCCAUGCCGCGUGCAGGAUGACGGCUCUAUGAGUUGUAAACUGCUUUUGUAUUAGGGUAAACACCCCUACGUGUAGGGGCUUGCAAGGAUAAUAAGAAUCAGGAUCGGCUAACUCCGUGCCAGCGGCCGCGGUAAUACGGAGGAACCAAGCGUUAUCCGGAUUUAUUGGGUUUAAAGGGUGCGUAGGCGGUUUGAUAAGUUAGAUGGGAAAGACCGGGGCUCAACACCGGAAAUGCAUUUAAUACUGUUGAACUAGAGAGUAGGUGCGGUAGGCGGAAUGUAUGGUGUAGCGGUGAAAUGCUUAGAGAUCA
rnacentral:rRNA from 1 species